rnacentral:hammerhead_ribozyme from 1 species
AUCCACGCGACAAGUCCCAAAUAGAACGAAACGCGCGUCCUGGAU